GGCCAUUUUAGGAGAAACUCUGUGGUCAACUCGUUUUUCCACCGUCCGUCCCAUCGUUGGUGACGUCACCCGUCCUCUCCGAACUACGAUACAAUCACUGCACGCCGCCUUGCAAACUCCACAGAACCACAACAAUCUAGCUUGGCUUCACCUGAAAUUUCUUCGAAAAUUUAGAUCGAAAAACCCAAAACCACAACUUUCUCUCCCCACUCCGUCAAUUUGGCGAAGUGCCCAGGCACCUGAGCGCCGCCGAACGCUUCCCGAACAUCUGGUAGCUUUCCUUCACUUUCCGGCGAGGCUUCGGUGACGAACUUGAAGGUACAGCAGAUUUAAACCAUAUUUUCUUCUCUUUCCGGGGGAAUUGCUGAGAAAUUACUUCUGAGCUGAUUUACGAGGACACUGUCUUUGCUCCGUGAGAAAGGAUCGCUGAAAGAAAAGAAUCUAACAGAAAACAGAUAUUGUUUGGACUGACCAAGGAUUUCUGCUUCCAAUCAUCUUUCCCUCUGCUCCUCCUCAGUUGUGUUCUGUAUAGAAGAUUUAAUGGCCAACAAGUCAAGACCAAAACCUAGCAAAUUAGCUGUCUACCUUUACAUACCCAAUAUUGUUGGGUACACAAGGGUUCUCAUGAAUUGUUUUGCUUUUGCUAUAUGCUUUUCCAACAAAAGGCUUUUCUGCCUUCUCUAUUUUAUUAGUUUUGUAUGUGAUGGCAUUGAUGGUUGGUGUGCCCGUAAAUUCAAUCAAGUAUCAACUUUUGGAGCUGUUUUGGAUAUGGUGACUGAUAGGAUUAGCACUGCUUGUCUACUUGUAAUGCUUUCCCAAGUAUACAGACCUGGCUUGGUUUUUGUGUCAUUGCUUGCCCUGGA
rnacentral:misc_RNA from 1 species